rnacentral:rRNA from 1 species
AUUGAACGCUGGCGGCAUGCUUUACACAUGCAAGUCGGACGGCAGCACAGAGAAGCUUGCUUCUUGGGUGGCGAGUGGCGAACGGGUGAGUAACAUAUCGGAACGUACCGAGUAGUGGGGGAUAACUGGUCGAAAGAUCAGCUAAUACCGCAUACGUCUUGAGAGGGAAAGCAGGGGACCUUCGGGCCUUGCGCUAUUCGAGCGGCCGAUAUCUGAUUAGCUAGUUGGUGGGGUAAAGGCCUACCAAGGCGACGAUCAGUAGCGGGUCUGAGAGGAUGAUCCGCCACACUGGGACUGAGACACGGCCCAGACUCCUACGGGAGGCAGCAGUGGGGAAUUUUGGACAAUGGGCGCAAGCCUGAUCCAGCCAUGCCGCGUGUCUGAAGAAGGCCUUCGGGUUGUAAAGGACUUUUGUCAGGGAAGAAAAGGCUGUUGCUAAUAUCAGCGGCUGA